CUACGGAGGGUGCAAGCGUUAUCCGGAUUUAUUGGGUUUAAAGGGUGCGCAGGCGGACCUGUCAGUCAGUGGUGAAAUCCCGGGGCUCAACCCCGGAACUGCCAUUGAUACUACAGGUCUUGAAUACGGUUGAAGUAGGCGGAAUGUAGCAUGUAGCGGUGAAAUGCAUAGAUAUGCUACAGAACACCGAUCGCGAAGGCAGCUUACUAAGCCGAUAUUGACGCUCGGGCACGAAAGCGUGGGUAGCGAACAGGAUUAGAAACCCUAGUAGUCC
rnacentral:rRNA from 1 species